CAGUCGCCGCGGGAAUACGUAGGUGGCAAGCGUUAAUCGGAUUUACUGGGCGUAAAGGGCGCGUAGGUGGUUAUGUAAGUGAGAUGUGAAAUCCCCGGGCUCAACCUGGGAACUGCAUCUUAUACUGCGUAGCUGGAGUGCAGUAGAGGGUAGUGGAAUUUCCGGUGUAGCGGUGAAAUGCGUAGAUAUCGGAAGGAACACCAGUGGCGAAGGCGGCUACCUGGACUGACACUGACACUGAGGCGCGAAAGCGUGGGGAGCAAACAGGAUUAGAUACCCGUGUAGUCCCUGUCUCUUAUAC
rnacentral:rRNA from 1 species